CGCGGUAAUUCCAGCUCCAAUAGCGUAUAUUAAAGUUGUUGCAGUUAAAAAGCUCGUAGUUGAAUUUCGGGGUUAGUAGGUUGGUCAUGCCUCUGGUAUGUACUGGUCUCACUGAUUCCUCCUUCCUGAUGAGCCGUAAUGCCAUUAAUUUGGUGUUGCGGGGAAUUUGGACUGUUACUUUGAAAAAAUUAGAGUGUUUAAAGCAAGCUAACGCUUGAAUACAUUAGCAUGGAAUAAUGAAAUAGGACGUUCGAUCCUAUUUUGUUGGUUUCUAGGAUUGACGUAAUGAUUAAUAGGGAUAGUUGGGGGCAUUAGUAUUCAAUUGUCAGAGGUGAAAUUCUUGGAUUUAUUGAAGACUAACUACUGCGAAAGCAUUUGCCAAGGAUGUUUUCAUUAAUCAAGAACGAAAGUUAGGGGAUCGAAGACGAUCAGAUACCGUCGUAGUCUUAACCAUAAACUAUGCCGACUAGGGAUCGGAUGAUGUUAA
rnacentral:rRNA from 1 species